GCUGGGUUAGCUCAGGUGGUAGAGCAUGAGACUCUUGAUCUCAGGGUUGUGGGUUUGAGCCCCACAUUGGGCA